GACGAACGCUGGCGGCGUGCCUAAUACAUGCAAGUAGAACGCACAGUUUAUACCGUAGCUUGCUACACCAUAGACUGUGAGUUGCGAACGGGUGAGUAACGCGUAGGUAACCUGCCUGGUAGCGGGGGAUAACUAUUGGAAACGAUAGCUAAUACCGCAUAAUAUUGAUUAUUGCAUGAUAAUUGAUUGAAAGAUGCUAUUGCAUCACUACCAGAUGGACCUGCGUUGUAUUAGCUAGUAGGUGAGGUAACGGCUCACCUAGGCGACGAUACAUAGCCGACCUGAGAGGGUGGUCGGCCACACUGGGACUGAGACACGGCCCAGACUGCUACGGGAGGCAGCAGGAGGGAAUCUUCGGCAAUGGACGAAAGUCUGACCGAGCAACGCCGCGUGAGGGAAGAAGGAUUUCGGGUCGUAAAGGUCUGUUGUAAGGGAAGAACGGGUGUGAGAGUGGAAAGUUCACACUGUGACGGUAUCUUACCAGAAAGCGACGGCUAACUACGUG
rnacentral:rRNA from 1 species